rnacentral:rRNA from 1 species
GAUGAACGCUAGCGGCAGGCUUAAUACAUGCAAGUCGAGGGACAGCACAGGUAGCAAUACUGGGUGGUAACCGGCAAACGGGUGCGGAACACGUACACAACCUUCCUUUAAGUGGGGGAUAGCCCAGAGAAAUUUGGAUUAAUACCCCGUAAUAUAGUUGAAUGGCAUCAUUUGAUUAUUAUAGCUACGGCGCUUAAUGAUGGGUGUGCGGCUGCUUAGAUAGUUGGCGGGGUAACGGCCCACCAAGUCUACGAUCAGUAGCUGAUGUGAGAUCAUGAUCCGCCAAACUGGCACUGAGACGCGGGCCCGAUUCCUACGGGAGGCAGCAGUAAGGAAUAUUGGUAAAUGGACGCAAGUCUGAACCAGCCAUGCCGCGUGAAGAAUUAAGGUCCUCUGGAUUGUAAACUUCUUUUAUUUGGGACGAAAAAGGGCCUUUCUAGGUCAACUGACGGUACCAGAUGAAUAAGCACCGGCUAACUCCGUGCCAGCCGCCGCCGUAACAC